UGAACAAUAAAAAUUUAUUUAAAAAAAAAGAAAAUUAAAGGUCUGUACAAAUUGCUGAUGGUAUGACAGGAAGAAAGAAUAUUAGCGUAGAAAUACUUAAUGGAAGGACUGAGGCAUGGUUAUGCAUUUUUGAAGG